CGGAGCGAGGGGAGCGCGGCUCCGCUGCAGCAGCUCCGGAGCCCGGCACGGCGCUCCGCAGAGCGUGACAGCCGAGCCUUCCGCACGGCAUCGCCACGGCGUGGCUCGCCUCAACCCCUUUAACUUUAUGUCGGGGUCUUGCGGGUUCGGGGGUUUGGUGACCGCACGUACCCCGACUCUGUAACGCGACCUCCGUUCUGUACCACGAGCAGGUAACAGAGCUAAGCACGGGGACGUGUUUAUUUCCCGCUGAAUGGAGCUACCGGCCAGCGGAGCGGGGACUCGAGUCCGUCUCCCGGUGAAAAUGGCCAAAAGACACUCGAACAAGCGAAGGGACGGAGAGAUAAAAUAGAAAACAUGUUAACACAGACAGAUAAAUGCCCGGCCGGACCCUUCCUCCUCCGCGAACACACGCGUCUGUGAGCGCUCGCAUCCCAGCCGGUCACCAAGCACGGCCGAGGGGACACAGACCUGGGCACAACUCUGUCAGGGAUUCAUUGCCCCGCACCUCCUCACACACACUUUUUCAUGUUGCCACAUGCCCACGCACUCGUGCCGCAGAAAUAAAACGUGUGGCUAAAGCCGCAGGUGCGGAGAUGGUUGGAAAGUUGUAAAAAGCACCUCGCCUUGAGGGUGUCCUGCCGGGAAACCUGGCGUGUUUCAGACCCCACGGGCGAAGAGGUUUUUGCGACUCAAUUUCAAAGACAAGGCUGCAGCGUUCCCAUUGAUCCUCACGGAGCAAAAAAUAACCUUUACCCGAAACAGUGACCAGGAAGGACUGGGAAGACAGAAAGUGGGGAAGGAAUCUUUCCAGGUUAAAAUGUGGGGAACUGCCUUAUGGUUUCCAAACAAGCCAGAGCUGAGGAGGUGACCUUUCGGGGAGGGUAGGAGAAGGUGGGAGUUCAAAAUACAGAAUAGCCACAGAUUGUUGCUGAUGUUGGAUUUCCUGAGGAAAAAAAUAAAAGCCAAAACCCAAAGCACAACCCAACACCAACCUUUCCUGUCUCGAAUCUGACAAAGUAAACAGGAUUAAUUCACCAUAUGAAAAAACAUAAACGCCGUCCUAACAAAUGCAGAAAUCAGAAGAGAAAGCGGUUUUAACAGGACGCACAAUAUUAAUAGUUUGAACGUAUGAUCGUAAAAAUGAAAAACCAUUGAUAUACGCUUAAAAGCCGCCGUAUACGCUGAUUGCUCAAGCAUUAAUGAAGAAUGCCCCAGAUUAACUAUUUGCUCUUCGAGGGAUGCAGCGAUAUAACUAUCUAUUAGCACCAUUAGAUGCUUUGCUAUUUAUUUGAAAACACCCCUGCGAGUGGGUUGAGACAGAGGAGAUGAAUGUAAAAAAUGAACUGCAGCUAAUUUCGCUAAAUAAUCCUCGAAACCUGAGCGCUUCGCAAGGAAGGGGGAGAUUCUCCACUGUCCUUCUCCGAGGCUUAAUGACAAUAGAAAUGCUCUGGUUUAAAAGUGAGACCGUGUUGGUUUUCCAAAUAAACAAAAGCAUCCCUCCUGCCAUUUUACUGCAGAUGUAAAUUUAUUUUAAUGAGAGGGAGUGGAAGGAUUUAUUUUGCUAAAAUUGAGUUGGGGAUAGAGCCGGUGUAAAUCUUUAGGUUUCAAAAAGAGAGGAGGAAGGAGGGGGAAGCUGCUUUCCUGGCAGAAAGCUGCCUAACAGUCCUCUAAUUCUUUCUAGAUUAAAUCGCAAUAUGAAUACAGCAUCGAACAAAUACCGAGUUUCGCUCUGAACUCAGUGGAAAGCAGUUACGUCUAACAGAAUUCAAUGAAUUCCUCUUCUCCCUCAAUGUAGUAUGUGUGUGUUUUUCUCUUCCACCACACUGAAGUUCCAUGAAUAGGGAAAGUGGCUCCUAUUGUGUGCCUCUGAACUUCCAAGUCAAUGCAAUUUUUAACCACUGGCUUGUGGUACUUUGAAAAUCACCAGGGGCUGUCAGAGUUGGGUCCUCUGAAAAAUUUACAGUGCUAAAUCAGAGCAUAUGCUGUGAGAGAGGAAAAAAAAUUGCUUAAGAUUGGAGCAAGUACAGUAUCUGGCUGCCCCCUAGUGUAAGUCUCUUAUCUGCCUAAAAUUCAACUUUAAAAGAAAAGGAUCUCUUAAAGGGAAACGACUUUUGGCUCACGUAUGCAUACGAGAAUGAAACUUCUGUACAUUUUAAUCUGAUUAAUUCCUAAGGAUUUAAAAUUAAUUGGCUUGGGCACUCCUAGACCGGACUAUAAGAUUUCUGCAUCAGGGUUUCUGCGAGAGCUGUGCCGAAUAGGUAUUUUUAAGGGAUAGUGGUAAGGGAUUGGGUUGGGGGGGGGGGAGAUCCUGUUUUGUGAUUUUUUUUUUUUUAACGAGGAUCCGAGCCUCGCUUGCUGUUGUCAGAGCAAAACACUUCUGCCGCUUAAAGUCAGAUCUACGUCUUUUGCAAUAAUACUUAAAAAAAAAAAAAAAAAAGGAUAAAUAAUUGCCUUAAAGCCUCAGCCGAACUGCCAACCACACCUUCGGAUGUUAGAAGGCAGAAAUAUGUGAACUGCUGAGAGAGGUGGGUACUUUUUGGCUUCUCCGGACCUUGUCUGGGUUUAAUCACAGGCUUUGGGACAAAAUGUGCAUUAUUAAGAAGUAUAAAUAUUUUCAGAAGCAAUCAAAGGGUUGAAAGAUUGAUUCGGCAUGUAGAUUGGAUUUAAUUCGAAGCAGCUUUGUUCUAAUGAGGACUACUGGGAUACAAAGACGGCAGCCGCUUAUGGCCACCAGUUGGGAACUUCCACUCGCUGCAGCAACCUGUCAAGAAUUCCAAGGAACUGCCAGGGUAAAAUUGCCUGCAGGGUACGUUUGCUGGAGCCUGUUAAUUCCUCCUGAGGUCAGUGGGUACCGGGUGCUGGGCAGCACAGCCUCUCCUGGCCGGGCACGGUGGGCUCCGGCUGCUUCCCAAGAGACAGGGACAGUGAUGAAGAACGUGGGAUUUCCCAGAGGAAUUUGGAAGAUGCCCAUGUCUAAGGCAAUGGUGAGGAUUGGGCCAAAAUCCAGCCUUGACUCCUUCAUGCAAGUGACCCAGUGCUGACCCAUGGCUGCUGAUGGAUCGCAGUGAUGUGGACCUUCCUCCCUCCCUCCUCACUAACCUGCAUCAGAUCUCCAGGAGCACCUGAGAGUACUGGAUGAAGCAUCACAAGACCAUGAUUGGAAAGCAGGGGGACCAAGCACUCAAAGGUGGCUGAUGCAGCUGGUUCCCUGGCCCUGGGGCCAGCUCUUGGUCAUGGCACAAGAGGCCAGAGGUGGGGACUCUUUCUGUCUUGGCUACUCCUCAUCAGUGCUUCGAGCUGCAGGAAGCCCUGAGAACCAAGGAAAUACAAGUGCACCACCAGGGAUUUGCUCCUCUCUACACCUGAAGCACAGCACAAAGUUCCACCCUUUGCUUCUGCAGCAAGUUCUUGUUACCCAAUUCCUGCUGACAACAGAGGAAGAUCUCAAGUCAGCUCAGAAAAUGAACGACUAGAAGGUAAGUGAAAGGAAUAGUAAAUACAGGCCAUUCAUGUAACAGGAUCCGAUUCAUUUUUAUGUCAGGGAGAUUUUUUAAAUGGGACUUCUCCCAGUGGAGAGCUCUCAGUGCUCAAGGCCUGUUUCACUAAAAAGACAAUACAUAAUUAUUCUGGGCUUAUUAUUAUUUUUUAUCACUCUUUUUCCAGUUGCAGGGAGUGAGGGCAGAGAUGAGAUCAGGACCCAGUUUAUUGUGCAGCUCACGGGGCUGCAGGACCCUGUGGAGGUAAAUGCACCCAGGCUGAAGGUUCAGGUGACAGGUCUGAGAUGGGAGAAUCCAUCAAAACCCAGCAAAAAUGGGGACUCAGCCUCCUGAGCUCCUCAGUCCUGGGCUCCUGCUGCUUGUUGCUUUCAGCAUCUUUUCCCUUCACACUUAUUUUGAAUCACCGAAAUGAUGAAUAGAAAAAAUGUCAUGUCGUUUGAAGCACUCUUUAUCGUAUUUAUAGAAAACAGAUUAUCUGUUCUCUGAGGAUAGUGGAAACCGAGUAUGAUGAGCUCAUCUGGAGAAAAUGUAGGUUGGGUGUGACAGAGAAACUUGUGUUUUAUACCUCAGUGACAUCUUAAUUUCUGGUUUUGGUAUGACAGACUCAGUGAUACUGAACCAUGCUGGUUCCUGCUUUCGGGCUGGGGUCACAAGUUUGACUUGGAAGAAGGAACUUCCAUGCAGAGAUGCGACUGCAGUGUGAAUACUGUGCCAGGUUUUCUUUACAGAUGAAACCUGGAGUGUCCUAAAAUCCAGAAACUACUCAAUAGUAGCAACUUCCACACCCCUACGUGCUCCUGCCAUUGCUUUGAACCUGUUUAUUUAUUCAUUUGGGCUCUAAGCACUCGGAUGCAUUCCUUCUUGCUGCAACAGCAGGGGUACAGGAAGGGGUGUUUGAAGCCACGCAGUCAAUUCCACCCUGGAUUUCAGGAGGAGUUAUUCUUGUCUCAGGGAUGACGCAUUCAAAUAUCCCUCUACGGAUUCCAGUGUGCAAAAUCUGAUAUUGAGAAUGCUUUAGCUUCAUUUCCAUCUUCUAUUCUCAAAAUGUUUUGUUCCACUGGGAAGAUUUCCCCGGGGAGAUAACCUCAGCCACGGCUGCACGAGGCUUGUGGGGUGACUGAUUUGCAAAGCUGCAUUUUGAGGUGGCUCUGGGGCAGCCACAUCCCCACUCUUCUGAGGCUCUUAAGGAUAUUUGUGAGCUGGCAUGAGAAAUCACCUGGGACCCAGAGCAGACCACAAGUGCUUAGGACAGUGUUUUCUCUGCACCUUUUCUUGCUGAGCAGAACUGCAGCACCAUAAACAAGUGCGAGUUUUGCCUCAUUCUUAGGUCCUGUGAGUUAUGAAAGCCCACUCCAGAUGUAAUGAAUGUAUAGAUCACUUUGACCAGAUCAUAAUCUAUUAGUAAAUAAUGCUCUCUGAAAAUGUAUAGGUGAAAUAAAGAACUUCUUGCUGCUAUUGCUGUAUUGGUAUCAAGGAUUACUGUGGAGGCCAACAUGAUCCUCAGGCUUUGUGCUACUGACAUUUAAAUACAAUGCAGAAUUAACUACAGGGUUUGGUUAGUAAAUUCCCCUCUGGGUUAGGAUAUUCAGAAUUUACACUGCUGGAAACAGAACCCAAAACUGUACAAGGCUUACCUCUGCCUUGGCUUCAGCUCACUGAUACCCUCAUACGUUUUUACAGAAUUUUUCCAUUAGCUUCCUAAUUUUGGUGGUGAUAUUAAUUAGCAAAUCACACAAUACUUUUCAGCAUUAGUAGAUAGAGCAAACCCCUAUAAAACCUAUGACUUUUCCUUGCUAUCCCUGGAGGAAGCCCAAGGGUACCAGACUAAGACCUAAGGCAAAUUGUCAGCACAGUCUAUAGGCCAUGGGAAGGUUAGGUUUAAAGAAGAUGUCACUUUGGGGACAUCUGUGUGACACAUGCUGCAGUGUCCAGACAUUGGAGACUAUGUUUUUGCUCUAAAUCUAGAGAGGAAGUCAAUAGGAAAAAAAAAAAAAAGGGAAAGAAGCACAGGGGAAUAAAAGUACUUUUGAAAGAGAAGAAAUCUACAUUUCAAUGAAAAUCCUUUCAAGGCAUUUCAAAUAAGAGUCUGAGAGAAAUAAUUACAAAGUUUGGAGAGAAAGAAUGUUAGCUUUGAUAUCUUUUUCUUCUAUGAAGCAAUUAAAAUAAGCAAUUUUUCAAAUACUAAGCAGAAAAUUACUAAUGGCUGAACCCAAAAGCUUUCAUUUCCUUCUUGGGGCCUUUAUUCUUCUAAAAAAAGACAAAAAAAAUGUGAAGGUGGUUUUCCAGAUAGAUUAAUGCAUAAAGCAGUCGCUGGUUGGAUGUCAUAAAAACUACAGCAGCAUAGAAUAGCUGAGAUUAAGAGCUAGAUUUAAAUCAUGCAACAGUCCAGUUAAUAUCAAUGUCUAAUUAAGAAAUGCAUAAGAAGUCUGUAAUGUUGAUUUGAUGGAGAAAAACUCUAAUAGGGUUUCUUUUGGAAUUUUCCAUUUCAAUUGCUGUGUAGACUUUUAAUGGAUGUCCUAUCCAGUCUUUGGUAUUAGCAGGAAUCAUCCUCAAAUUAAAACCAAGGCUAAAAUGGAACACAGGUAGACAAAUUAGCUGGUCUGGGAAGCAGCCUGGGCAGAAUGACAAUGUGAGCUGAAGCCGAAAUUUGAGUACAAAUAAAAGAGAAUAAAAGUCUCAAAUCUGGUGUGGAAACCCUCUCUGCUUCUCGUUUGAAACAAUCUAAAACCCUGUAAUUUGAAACAAUGCAAUGUUAACCCAUUUCCCCACCUCCCUGAGCCUGCAGAAAUCCCUGACAAUUCAUACUUAGACACCUAGACCACUAGGCAUUAUUAAUUAGUCUUUUUUAUUUAAAAGGCUUUCCAUAGUUAUGCAUAUUAGGAGUGUGUAGAGGUGGGUUCUUCUCUGCCUGUGAUGGGAUUUAGAGCACUCAGGUCCCUGUCACCAUCAACGAGCACCAUUAAUCUCCCACUCCUCUCUGGGUAACUAAAUCUCUCAAACCCCUGGAGCAAAACUAAGCCUGUGGUGUCUUCUGUGUCCCAUGGAUCAUCCAAGACAUUUGGUCUCUAGAUAUGAGAGGGGAACUGGUUUUGAGCACAUGACAGAUGCCCUGAAGUUGCUAAAAGACGAGCAGUGUAACUCUCGGUAUGCACAAAUCCAUUUAGCAAAGAGAGGGAAAGCACAGUUAAAGCAGCAGUGUAUUUGUUAUCACCACUCUGCUGUUGAUCCAACAGAUCCAGAGGGAACGAUCUCAAGGAUCCAGGAAGAUGGCAAACUCAGAAGAACCCCUCUGACCAAUGCAUGCUGGGGAAUAAUUUUAAAGUUCGUUAGAACACCUUAAAAUAUAAUACAUUGGCCAUGGCAAAGCAAGGUACGUGAUUCCAUCUGUCUACAUGUCUCUUUCCAGUAUUAAAUCCAUCCAGAGACAUUUCAGAAUUGUAUCAUUAAGUCUUGUCACUUCCACAGAGAGUGGGAAAGACUGGAGGUGAAAAUCAGAGUAACAGUGAAAUUUUUGCACUUUUAUUUUUGGGUCAUUGCCUGAAAUGUCACGGUCCAAACUCAUGCCUGACAUUGCUCCAUUGACCCAUGAGGCACAGAUAUAUCAUAUUAAAGAGUGAUACCAUGGUCCUGGGGCAUGCCCCAAGGAUUUUUCUCCUUGAUAUGGGAACAAGGAUGCUCUCAGUGAGGCAUCUGCCUUCUCAGUGGUACAGAAGGUCUGAUGUGAGGACACUCAGGCCAUCAGAGGAGUCUGGAUUUAUUUACCAUGCUCUUGACUGUAAAACUGGGAGGUGCCAUGGGUCGGGAUGAUGCUAGAGGAUUAUUCAGGUGAAGUUCUAACAGGGUGCUUUGUCUGCAACCUUUAUUAGAUUUAUGCAAUACUUAGGGAAAAACAAGAGUAUGAAGCAGACUGUCCUUUGCAAACACACACAACAGAAAAAAACCCAAACCUUAACUUGUCCAACACACUUGAGAGCCACCAAUUCUGUUAGAGUUUUGCUAAAUGAGAGGAAUAUUCCUCCCCUCCUCUAUAAAACCAUCCUUUUAGACAUUACUGCAGUCAUGACCUCACCACAGUUCCUGGAUUCCUUCUGAAAAGAUUAAAAUGAACUAAUACACAAAUGAUCUCAUCACAGCAUAAAGGACAUCUUACACAGGGGGGAAAAACUAAUCAGGAGAACUUCAGUGCUGCAUUUGCAGUAGCAGUAGAAACAGAACUGUAACACCACUGUGGAAAAACAAACUAAAAGUACAAUGCCAGAGAGACAUUUUUCCAUCUAAUGAACCAUUUGGGUUUGUCCUACCUCAUCCUGCCUGUGUCACCUGUCAUCCUCUUAGCUGUCUCCACAUCUAUCAUCUUUCCCUUUUUCCUGCCUUUAUCUACAAUUUCCUUUGUCUAUUCUGUGCCUUUCCCACCUGUUUUAAUAUUCCUGGUAACUUUGAAUUUUGUGCACUACUAUUCUCAACGACACCCAAAAUGCAUUUUGCAGAGUACAUUCAUACAGUCACCUUACACAAAAGUAUUCACACAUACUUCAUCUGUAGUUUAUGUCAUUCUGCAUUAAGAACACCUUUUCUGUGUUUUCAUACAGUUCUCGCCCCAAGGGGUCAUGGAUGGUGACAGCUCUCAUCUACUUUGGAGCUGUUCUAUCUUCUAAGAGAAAUCAGGAAGAUGAGCUGGGAGAGAUGCUUUACUUUCUUUGGUAGGACAAUCUAUAAAUUAACAUUUAUGUAAGUGAGACUCUCACCACAUUUUUAAUGUUAUGUCACAUUUGAGGCUGGAAAACAGAAUGUCUUGGAACUAGGUGAUCUUGAAGGUCUUUUUCAACCCAAGCUUUCCUAUGAUUCCACGAUCUUCAGAACAAGAUGGAUAGGGUGUUACUAAUGCAACCUUAUCUCUGGUGCCCAUGGGUGCUCCUCAGCUCUGCCUUGAGGUGACACCGUUAAGCAAGAGGUGACGAACCGGUUUCCUUUCCCAAGGAAAUGUCACGUAACUGCCCAGGGGCCCCUUUUGGUGGGGGUUGCACCCUGAUUUUCAAGGAGAGAAUUGCUGCUGUGGCUCCUUCCCAGCCUGGCAGGAGGAGCUGAAGCUGCCCAUUCACAGCAGUGACAUUUCUCAGGCAGGAGG